GGGUGAGUAAUGCCUAGGAAUCUGCCUGGUAGUGGGGGACAACGUCUCGAAAGGGACGCUAAUACCGCAUACGUCCUACGGGAGAAAGUGGGGGAUCUUCGGACCUCACGCUAUCAGAUGAGCCUAGGUCGGAUUAGCUAGUUGGUGAGGUAAUGGCUCACCAAGGCGACGAUCCGUAACUGGUCUGAGAGGAUGAUCAGUCACACUGGAACUGAGACACGGUCCAGACUCCUACGGGAGGCAGCAGUGGGGAAUAUUGGACAAUGGGCGAAAGCCUGAUCCAGCCAUGCCGCGUGUGUGAAGAAGGUCUUCGGAUUGUAAAGCACUUUAAGUUGGGAGGAAGGGCAUUAACCUAAUACGUUAGUGUUUUGACGUUACCGACAGAAUAAGCACCGGCUAACUCUGUGCCAGCAGCCGCGGUAAUACAGAGGGUGCAAGCGUUAAUCGGAAUUACUGGGCGUAAAGCGCGCGUAGGUGGUUUGUUAAGUUGGAUGUGAAAUCCCCCGGGCUCAACC
rnacentral:rRNA from 1 species